rnacentral:rRNA from 1 species
UGCAGUCGACGAACUCCUUCGGAGUUAGUGGCGGACGGGUGAGUAACACGUGGGAACGUGCCUUUAGGUUCGGAAUAACUCAGGGAAACUUGAGCUAAUACCGGAUGUGCCCUUCGGGGGAAAGAUUUAUCGCCUUUAGAGCGGCCCGCGUCUGAUUAGCUAGUUGGUGAGGUAAAGGCUCACCAAGGCGACGAUCAGUAGCUGGUCUGAGAGGAUGAUCAGCCACAUUGGGACUGAGACACGGCCCAAACUCCUACGGGAGGCAGCAGUGGGGAAUCUUGCGCAAUGGGCGAAAGCCUGACGCAGCCAUGCCGCGUGAAUGAUGAAGGUCUUAGGAUUGUAAAAUUCUUUCACCGGGGACGAUAAUGACGGUACCCGGAGAAGAAGCCCCGGCUAACUUCGUGCCAGCAGCCGCGGUAAUACGAAGGGGGCUAGCGUUGCUCGGAAUUACUGGGCGUAAAGGGAGCGUAGGCGGACAUUUAAGUCAGGGGUGAAAUCCCGGGGCUCAACCUCGGAAUUGCCUUUGAUACUGGGUGUCUUGAGUAUGAGAGAGGUGUGUGGAACUCCGAGUGUAGAGGUGAAAUUCGUAGAUAUUCGGAAGAACACCAGUGGCGAAGGCGACACACUGGCUCAUUACUGACGCUGAGGCUCGAAAGCGUGGGGAGCAAACAGGAUUAGAUACCCUGGUAGUCCACGCCGUAAACGAUGAUUGCUAGUUGUCGGGAUGCAUGCAUUUCGGUGACGCAGCUAACGCAUUAAGCAAUCCGCCUGGGGGAGUACGGUCGCAAGAUUAAAACUCAAAGGAAUUGACCGGGGGCCCGCCACAAGCGGUGGAAGCCAUGGUGGCUUUAAUUCCGAAGCAAC